GCUUUCGUGGUGUAAUGGUCAGCAAUUCGGCUCGUAUUCGAGGGAUCUGAGGUUCGAGUCCCGGCGAGGGCA
rnacentral:tRNA from 1 species